GGGGGCGGUGGCGGAGGCCUUGGGGACGGCUUUGGCUCCGAUGCUGCCGAGCGUCGUUCCGCUGCUGCUGCGGGCGCUGCGCCAACCGCCGCCUGCGGCGGGGGGGGAGGGCCUCGACCCAUUGGUUCUCUUCGAGGAGGAGGAGGAGCCAAUGGACGAUGACAUCACGGAGGAGGAGGAGCUAAUCGAGGUGGAACUGGGAGGAGCGUGGGCAGAGGAACUGGUGGAGGCGUGCGAGGCACUGGAGCACUGGCCGAGCACUGCGG